rnacentral:misc_RNA from 1 species
GAUGAAGAACGUAGCGAAAUGCGAUAAGUAAUGUGAAUUGCAGAAUUCAGUGAAUCAUCGAAUCUUUGAACGCACAUUGCGCCCCUUGGUAUUCCGAGGGGCAUGCCUGUUCGAGCGUCAUUAUAACCCCUCAAGCUCAGCUUGGUGUUGGGGCCUGCUGCACUGGCAGCCCUUAAAAUCAGUGGCGGCUCCAUCUGGCUCUAAGCGUAGUAAUUCUUCUCGCUAUGGAGUCCUGGUGGAUGCUUGCCAUCAACCCCCAAUUUUUCUAUGGUUGACCUCGGAUCAGGUAGGGAUACCCGCUGAACUUAAGCAUAUCAAUAAGCGGAGGA